ACAGACUGGAACAAAGUUCCUCGCGUCUUGAUCGUUCUUGUUCUCCUUCACGCGCAUCUCCUGGUACUGAGAGACCCAGAUUAUGGGACUGCAAUCAGUUAAAGCGAAAUUGGCGUGCAACUGGAACUUUCAGAAUCUUCAAGCUGGACGGAGAUCGAGCAGGAAGGAUGGCGGUUUGAGAUUAACGUAGAGAUUGGGAGAGACUGGUCCGAUUAUUGGCUGGGAUAUUCUACUGAUUGAUCGAUCAGCUGACUACAGAAGCAAUUUGAUUGGCUGUUGAUAUUUGCAAUGCUCGAGUUUAUGCUAUACAUUCGUAUCAAAUUUAAUUUGACGUGCGAGAAAUGCGAUCUCGUUUGUCGUCGUAAUUUGCCGAUCAGAGAAUAAAUAAUUGACGGAAUUUCGUGACCGUACAAAUAAAUGCCAGAUAUUUUAAUAUUUCAAUUUAAAUAUUCGAAAUUAAACAGGAACUUUAAACGCGAAAGUCGGGUCAAGUUUCUCUUUUAAAGAAAUACCUAUUAUUAUCGAAACAUGCAUUAUAUUUUAUAUAACGGGUAACUCAAAGAGAAACUUUUACGUAUGAUUAAUGAAA